CAGCAGCAGCCGCGGUAACACAGAGGAUGCAAGCGUUAUCCGGAAUGAUUGGGCGUAAAGCGUCUGUAGGUGGCUUUUCAAGUCCGCCGUCAAAUCCCAGGGCUCAACCCUGGACAGGCGGUGGAAACUACCAAGCUGGAGUACGGUAGGGGCAGAGGGAAUUUCCAGUGGAGCGGUGAAAUGCAUUGAGAUCGAAAAGAACACCAACAGCGAAAGCACUCUGCUGGGUCGACACUGACACUAAGAGACGAAAGCUAGGGGAGCAAAUGGGAUUAGAUACCCGCGUAGUCCCUAUCUCUUAUAC
rnacentral:rRNA from 1 species